CCAAUGGAGACACAACAGAGGAGUGUACAGUAGAAGUGUGGAUGAUAUGGGGGCAUUUCCGCGUCCGGGAGUGUUACUUAGAAUAGACAGAAGAGGACUGAAACAAAAUGAAGGAAUCUCUUCAGCUUAUGGGUGACUUUUAAAGGAGAUACAAAAUAAAACACAAUGACAGUUAACCCUGUUAAAUUCCAGUGUUGUAAUGUGGGCAAUUUUCUCAAAACCAUCUUUUUUUUCUAUAAUUAAAAAUAUUAUUUUUAAUAUGAACCCCAUUUCCGGAAAAGUUGGGACAUUUUGGA